AUACGUAGGGAGCGAGCGUUAUCCGGAUUCAUUGGGCGUAAAGCGCGCGUAGGCGGCCGCGCAAGCGGAACCUCUAAUCCCGGGGCUCAACCCCGCGGCCGGGUUCCGGACUGCGCGGCUCGAGUGCGGUAGGGGCAGGCGGAAUUCCAUGUGUAGCGGUGAAAUGCGCAGAUAUAUGGAAGAACACCGAUGGCGAAGGCGGGUUGUUGGGCCGCCACUGACGCUGAGGCGCGAAAGCUAGGGGAGCGAACAGGAUUAGAUACCCUGGUAGUCCUGGCCGUAAACGAUGGGCGCUAGGUGUGGGGGGAGAUGCCCUCCGUGCCGCAGCCAACGCAUUAAGCGCCCCGCCUGGGGAGUACGGCGGCAACGCUAAAACUCAAAGGAAUUGACGGGG
rnacentral:rRNA from 1 species